UCUCCGUAGGUGAACCUGCGGAGGGAUCAUUACAGAGUUCAUGCCCUACCGGGUAGAUCUCCCACCCUAUGUUAUUAUUACUUUGUUGCUUUGGCGGGCCGUUAGGCUCCGGCCCGACUACCGGUCCCGGCUGGUAAGCGCCCGCCAGAGGACCCAAAACCCUGAAUAUUAGUGUCGUCUGAGUACUAUAUAAUAGUUAAAACUUUCAACAACGGAUCCCUUGGUUCUG
rnacentral:misc_RNA from 1 species